NNNAGACNNAGGGUUCCUGCGCAACGUUUAUCGACGCAGGGUUAGUCGGUUCCUGGGCGAGGCUGAAAAGCGUAGUCGUGGGAAACAGGUUAAUAUUCCUGUACUUCUGGUUACUGCGAUGGAGGGACGGAGAAGGCUAGGCCAGCUUGGCGUUGGUUGUCCAGUUUAAGGUGGUAGGCUGAAAUCUUAGGUAAAUCCGGGGUUUCAAGGCCGAGAGCUGAUGACGAGUCGUCUUUUAGAUGACGAAGUGGUUGAUGCCAUGCUUCAAGAAAAGCUUCUAAGCUUCAGGUAACCAGGAACCGUACCCCAAACCGACACAGGUGGUCGGGUAGAGAAUACCAAGGCGCUUGAGAGAACUCGGGUGAAGGAACUAGGCAAAAUGGCACCGUAACUUCGGGAGAAGGUGCGCCGGCUAGGUGAAGGAUUUACUCCGUAAGCUCUGGCUGGUCGAAGAUACCAGGCCGCUGCGACUGUUUAUUAAAAACACAGCACUCUGCAAACACGAAAGUGGACGUAUAGGGUGUGACGCCUCCCCGGUGCCGGAAGGUUAAUUGAUGGGGUUAGCGCAAGCGAAGCUCUUGAUCGAAGCCCCGGUAAACGGCGGCCGUAACAAUAACGGUCCUAGGUAGCGAAAUUCCUUGUCGGGUAAGUUCCGACCUGCACGAAUGGCGUAACGAUGGCGGCGCUGUCUCCACCGAGACUCAGUGAAAUUGAAAUCGCUGUGAAGAUGCAGUGUAUCCGCGGCUAGACGGAAAGACCCCGUGAACCUUUACUGUAGCUUUGCACUGGACUUUGAGCCUGCUUGUGUAGGAUAGGUGGGAGGCUUUGAAGCGUGGACGCCAGUUCGCGUGGAGCCAUCCUUGAAAUACCACCCUGGCAUGCUUGAGGUUCUAACUCUGGUCCGUAAUCCGGAUCGAGGACAGUGUAUGGUGGGCAGUUUGACUGGGGCGGUCUCCUCCUAAAGAGUAACGGAGGAGUACGAAGGUGCGCUCAGACCGGUCGGAAAUCGGUCGCAGAGUAUAAAGGCAAAGCGCGCUUGACUGCGAGACAGACACGUCGAGCAGGUACGAAAGUAGGUCUUAGUGAUCCGGUGGUUCUGUAUGGAAGGGCCAUCGCUCAACGGAUAAAAAGGUACUCCGGGGAUAACAGGCUGAUACCGCCCAAGAGUUCAUAUCGACGGCGGUGUUUGGCACCUCGAUGUCGGCUCAUCACAUCCUGGGGCUGAAGCCGGUCCCAAGGGUAUGGCUGUUCGCCAUUUAAAGUGGUACGCGAGCUGGGUUUAGAACGUCGUGAGACAGUUCGGUCCCUAUCUGCCGUGGACGUUUGAGAUUUGAGAGGGCUGCUCCUAGUACGAGAGGACCGGAGUGGACGAACCUCUGGUGUUCCGGUUGUCACGCCAGUGGCAUUGCCGGGUAGCUAUGUUCGGAAAAGAUAACCGCUGAAAGCAUCUAAGCGGGAAACUUGCCUCAAGAUGAGAUCUCACUGGGAACUUGAUUCCCUGAAGGGCCGUCGAAGACUACGACGUUGAUAGGCUGGGUGUGUAAGCGUUGUGAGGCGUUGAGCUAACCAGUACUACCCGUGAGGCU
rnacentral:rRNA from 1 species